rnacentral:rRNA from 1 species
GGUCGAAGCGGAGAAUUUAAGCCCCAGUAAACGGCGGUGGUAACUAUAACCAUCCUAAGGUAGCGAAAUUCCUUGUCGGGUAAGUUCCGACCUGCACGAAUGGCGUAACGACUUCCCUGCUGUCUCAACCACAGACCCGGCGAAAUUGCAGUACGAGUAAAGAUGCUCGUUACGCGCGGCAGGACGAAAAGACCCCGGGACCUUCACUAUAGCUUGGUAUUGGUGUUCGGUUCGGUUUGUGUAGGAUAGGUGGGAGACUGUGAUGCCUCAACGCCAGUUGGGGUGGAGUCGUUGUUGAAAUACCACUCUGAUUGUAUUGGACAUCUCAACCUCGGCCCGUGAUCCGGGUUAGGGACAGUGCCUGGUGGGUAGUUUAACUGGGGCGGUUGCCUCCCAAAGAGUAACGGAGGCGCCCAAAGGUUCCCUCAGCCUGGUUGGCAAUCAGGUGUUGAGUGUAAGUGCACAAG